rnacentral:ribozyme from 1 species
AGGUAAACGCGGGAAAAGAGAGGAAGAAAAAAAAAGAGACGAAAAAAAAAAGUUUCGCUUUCUUCCCUUUUUCACUGCCAUCCCGCUUCUUUCUUUCUGUUUUUUCUUCACCGUUUCUUUUUUU